AAUCCAUAGGUUAAUGAGGCGAACCGGGGGAACUGAAACAUCUAAGUACCCCGAGGAAAAGAAAUCAACCGAGAUUCCCCCAGUAGCGGCGAGCGAACGGGGAGGAGCCCAGAGCCUGAAUCAGCAUGUGUGUUAGUGGAAGCGUCUGGAAAGGCGCGCGAUACAGGGUGACAGCCCCGUACACAAAAGCGCAUGUGCUGUGAGCUCGAUGAGUAGGGCGGGACACGUGGUAUCCUGUCUGAAUAUGGGGGGACCAUCCUCCAAGGCUAAAUACUCCUGACUGACCGAUAGUGAACCAGUACCGUGAGGGAAAGGCGAAAAGAACCCCGGCGAGGGGAGUGAAAAAGAACCUGAAACCGUGUACGUACAAGCAGUGGGAGCCCCACCACCAAAGCAUUUGCUGUACCGCGUUGACGGAGCGAAGCGACGUCAAACCGAUAAAACAGCAGUGUAAAGUGAGCCGCAGGGCGCUUUGCGCGACAGCGCAAAGGCAGGCGGUUUCGCGUAGCGAAAGCGAAUGCUUUGGGGUGGGGUGACUGCGUACCUUUUGUAUAAUGGGUCAGCGACUUAUAUUCUGUAGCAAGGUUAACCGAAUAGGGGAGCCGGAGGGAAACCGAGUCUUAAUUGGGCGUUAAGUUGCAGGGUAUAGACCCGAAACCCGGUGAUCUAGCCAUGGGCAGGUUGAAGGGUGGGUAACACUAACUGGAGGACCGAACCGACUAAUGUUGAAAAAUUAGCGGAUGACCUGUGGCUGGGGGUGAAAGGCCAAUCAAACCGGGAGAUAGCUGGUUCUCCCCGAAAGCUAUUUAGGUAGCGCCUCGUGAAUUCAUCUCCGGGGGUAGAGCACUGUUUCGGCUAGGGGGCCAUCCCGGCUUACCAACCCGAUGCAAACUGCGAAUACCGGAGAAUGUUAUCACGGGAGACACACGGCGGGUGCUAACGUCCGUCGUGAAGAGGGAAACAACCCAGACCGCCAGCUAAGGUCCCAAAGUCAUGGUUAAGUGGGAAACGAUGUGGGAAGGCCCAGACAGCCAGGAUGUUGGCUUAGAAGCAGCCAUCAUUUAAAGAAAGCGUAAUAGCUCACUGGUCGAGUCGGCCUGCGCGGAAGAUGUAACGGGGCUAAACCAUGCACCGAAGCUGCGGCAGCGACACUGUGUGUUGUUGGGUAGGGGAGCGUUCUGUAAGCCUGUGAAGGUGUGUCGUGAGGC
rnacentral:rRNA from 1 species